AGAGAGCGUGCGCCGAGAGAGCGGGCCUUUUACAUCCGGGAGGCGUCGGGGUUGGGUUACGUUAAGCUAGGCUGUCGUGUUUUGUGGACCACGGUGGUAAUUGGGGCAGAACUUUUUGGCUUAGUUAAAAUGCAGGAGAUUCAAGAGUCGUGUAAUGGUAGGUUCACUUCAGCUGUGAAAACCUCUGGGUUUGAAAACCUGAGGAGACUUAGGUGUUCAUGAGGUCACGAGGCGGCCACGUGCAGCCCUGGCUGCCGAGUCCAAGAGGCCGAACGCGCUCGGGUCUUGGGCCCUCGGGCCUUGGGCCCUCGGGCAGAGGCUCGAAGCACAGGGCGACUUCGGCAAAGGUCGUGAAGUCCGCUGUCGGUGUCCAGUGGCCAUCUUGAAACUGCUUCGCCGGUACUCCCCCGUUCAGAUGUAGGAAGCAGAAGUAAUUGUUCCGAUGGACGAUAGAAAACAUGACCUGGUAAUCAAGAAAUGCCAUGUGCUGUGGGUGAAGUCCUGUUUGUUUAGAAGCCUGUGGCGCACUGCCAAAAGGUGAUUUUAAAUCUCAACAGCUUGGGUAUUGAGUGGCGAGUAAUAUUCUGAAAACUAUCAGGGUGGGGUGUUCGAUAUAGGUCUGAAUUUUUUGCCUAUAGCCUUUACGUAAGGAAUAGGUGAGCACUUUCUUGCUUGCUAUAAUUAAGUAAAAUGCUUGAUUUGUCUGGAGAAUCCGUGUUCUCUGACUAAAUGAUAAGGAGGUGGAAAGGUAUUUGUCACUGCAAAUAAUAAAGACUACCUCUUAGGGUAAGAACUGGUGUUGCAAUAGUAUGGAGGAGUAUCGUUGUGAGGUACUACAGUAUUUGGAGGGAAACCACAUUAAAGGCAGAUACCCCUAAGGGACAGCACAGUCAUUUUGUACCACACAAAAGAUGAAGACUACGGUAUAAGGUGAACAGUAUGCACUUUAUUCACACAAAUGUGCACAGAACACAUGUGUCUUUUAAAAGUCACACUUAAUGCUUAACAAGAAAAAAUUAGCUAUAAUAAAGAUAUACGUUAUGAACCAAGUA